UACAGAGGUCCCAAGCGUUGUUCGGAUUCCUUGGGCGUAAAGUGUGCGUAGGCGGCGCGGUAAGUCGGGUGUGAAAUCUCGGGGCUUAACUCCGAAACUGCAUUCGAUACUGCCGUGCUUGAGGACUGGAGAGGAGACUGGAAUUUACGGUGUAGCGGUGAAAUGCGUAGAUAUCGAGAGGAACACCUGCGGCGAAGGCGGGUUGCUGGGCUGACACCGACGCUGAUUGUGCGAAAGCUAGGGGAGCGAACGGG
rnacentral:rRNA from 1 species